rnacentral:rRNA from 1 species
GGAAUAUUGGGCAAUGGGCGCAAGCCUGACCCAGCCAUGCCGCGUGAGUGAUGAAGGCCUUCGGGUCGUAAAGCUCUGUGGGGAGGGACGAAACAGCACGGUGCAAAUACCACCGGGUCCUGACGGUACCUCCUUAGCAAGCACCGGCUAACUCCGUGCCAGCAGCCGCGGUAAUACGGAGGGUGCAAACGUUGCUCGGAAUCAUUGGGCGUAAAGCGCACGUAGGCGGCCCGUUAAGUCGGAUGUGAAAGCCCAGGGCUCAACCCUGGAAGUGCAUUCGAAACUGGCGGGCUUGAAUAUGGAAGAGGGUCGCGGAAUUCCCGGUGUAGAGGUGAAAUUCGUAGAUAUCGGGAGGAACACCAGUGGCGAAGGCGGCGACCUGGGCCAAUAUUGACGCUGAGGUGCGAAAGCGUGGGGAGCAAACA